ensembl:lncRNA TMEM161B-DT TMEM161B divergent transcript
GCAGGCGCAGCACAGGUACGUGGGCGGGCGGAUCGUGGUGGCUGCGCUUGCGAGGACCCUGAGGUAGAUUGGGUGGUUUCAACAGGAACGCAUCCACUGUCUGAGAGUUUAAACUUGAUUUUGUGAGGGGACGAACAGCGUGACAAUUAAAAGAAGAUCUGGGAAUCAAAAGCUUCCUGAGGCCUUCACCAGAAGCAGAUGCUGGUGCCGUGCUUCUACAGCCUGCAGAACUGUGAGCCAAAUAAAGUUCUUUCCUUUAUAAAUUACCCAGCGUCAGGUAUUGUUUUAUAGCAAUGCAGAACAGACUAACACAGACACACACACCAACCAAGUACAGUAUGAGAAGGGAUUAUUGGGUGCCAUUUUGGAGGUUGUCUACCACAGGAUUUUAUCUGUAUCAUUAUUCAAAUUUCGUUUUUGAAAAAUUUUGUAAGGGCACAUUUAUAGAAAUAUGAAUGCUUAAUAUUUGAUGAUAUUAGGGAAUUAAACCAUUUUUGUGUGAUAGUAAUUUUUAAAGAUUCCUUAUCUUUUAGAAAUACAUAUUGAAAUAUUUAGAGAUGUAGUGAUAUAAUGUCUGGGGUAUGCUUCAAGAUAAGAGUUGCAGAAAGUGGGUGGUAGUAUAAAUCAAGAUUGGUUAUGAGUUGAGAAUUUUUGAGUAAUAGGUAUAUGGGGACUAAGUAUUCUAUUCUUCAUACUUUUACAUGCCGUAAAUCCCCACUUAUCUGCAGGGAAUGUGUUCCAAGACCCCCAGUGGAUGCCUGAAACUGAGAAUAGUACUGGACCCUGUAUAUACUGUGUUUUUUCUUUCCUUAUUGAGAACUUUUAUGUUUUCACUUAAAGGAAGGACUUUACAGCUUCUCUUUCGCAUAUCCAAAUUGCCAGCAUCACCGCUCUUGCACUCCAAGCCAUUAUUAAGUAAAGUAAAGAACACAAACACUGUGAUACUGCUACACUUGAUCUGAUAACCAAGAAGUCUACUAAGUGACUAACAGGUGGGUAGCAUAUACAGCAUAGAUACACUGGACAAAGGGAGGACUCACAUCCUGGGCAAGAUGGAGCAGAAUGGCAGAGUUCAUCAUGCUGCUCAAAAUGAUGUGCAAUUUAAAACUAAUGAAUUAUUUCUGGAAUUUUUCAGUUAAUAUUUUUGGACAUGAGGUGACUGCAGUUAACUAAAACCAUGGAAAGCAAACCCAUAGAUAAAGGGAUACUAUGGUAUGUUUUCAUUUUCUAUAAUAAAAAGUUAAAAAGGAAAAAGACACCAUAGGAAAAUAAAAGACAAGUCACAAACUGGGAAAAGAUCUUUGCAACACAUGUGACUAUCGAAAGGAUUAGUAUUCACACUGUGUAAAGAACCACUACAAUUCAAUGAAAAUGAAGAUAAUGCUUUCCACCCCAAACAGGCAAUUCAUACAGGAGAAAACCUGAAAAGAUACCCAACCACAAGGAAAUACCAUUUCACACCCACCAGAUGAACAAAAAUGUAAAAGUCUGGCAAUAUUACAAUUCUUAUACAUUGCUGGUUGGAGUAUGAAUUGAUAUAAUCAAUUUGGGAAACAAUAUGGUAUUAUCUAGUAGCUGAAGAUGCACAUCUUCUGUGACCCAGGAAAAAUGUAUAGCAGGAGACAUGAGCAAGAAAAUUCAUAAUGGCAUUUAUAACAGUAAAACGUGGAAGAAAAUCCACUGUCCAUCAACAGUAGAGUGAUUAAAUACAUUGUAUAUGCUCAUACAGCAGAAUAUAGUGGUGGAAAAAAUAAAUUACAAGUUCAUGGACAUAGAUAAAUCUCUAACAAAAUGUUGAGCAAAUAAAAAUUCACAAAAGAAUUUUACAGUAGGAUUCCAUUUAUAUAAAGAACCAAUGAAAGUAAAUAGCCUAAGGGUACAAACAUAAGUAAAUCUAUAAAUUAAAGCAAAAGAAUGAUAAGCACAAAUUCAAGGCAGUGAUUUCCUCUAGCUACAGAGGGAAGGGAAUGAAGUAAGGAAAAGGUGAACAAGGAGCUUAAAAGUAUGAUAAUUAUAUGUGUUGGUUUGGCCAAACAGUCCUGGUUUACCUAGCACAGUUCUGGUUUGCUGAUUGCCUGGUGUAAUGAUUAAUAGCACUGUCACUCCCCAAAUUGUCAUUGUUUGGAUAAUGAAUUAUAUGCAUCCUUUUUAGAGUAAAAGUAACUUUUUUCUCCUUAAACUGGAUGGAGGGCAUGUGGGUCUUUAUCAUUCUUCCUUAUACAUGUAUUUUUAAAAUAUAAUUUAAAACUAGUCAGUAUUUUAAAAUAUAAUUUAAAACUUUAGUCAGUGUUAGUCACUGUGUUAGUGACAACACAGUAAAAAAAAAAAAUUUGUAAGAUAAAUAAAUAUAAAUAGGAUCCAAAUGAAACUCUUUUCAUCUGGGUGGAUACAGGGAUAAAUAACAUACUAUAUGCCUGGCAUUGUAUUAAGCUUGUUACUGAUAUUACUUCAUAUUCAUAGCAAGACAUUUAGGUAGGCAUUAUUAUCUCCAUUUUACACAUGAAGAAUCUAAGACACAAAGACUAUACAUAAUUUAACCAAAGUCAUAUUAUAUGUGACAGCGCAGAAUUUGAACCCAAGCAGUGUGACAUCAGACUACAUGCUCUUAACUACCAUGCCAGAGCCCAUAACAGAUUUUCUUAACCUUUUUUAUGCCACAGAUCCCUUUGACAGUCUGGUGAAGCCUAUAGAGUCCUUUUUAGAGUAAUGUCUUUUGUACAUCAAAUAUAAUGCACAGGAUUAUAAAUAAAAUCAAUUAUACUAAAAUAUGGUAAUCAAAAUAUUUAACAAAUGUAUACUAUACCUGUACUUUUUAUUAAUGCAUUAAAUAAAUAAUAAAAUCUAGCAGGUCUAAUGAAUAAUUUUGAAAUAAUAAUAAUAAUUGUAUCUUGAGAUAUCUACAAAUAUAGUAAUGUGAUAGGAAAAUGUUUGUGAUUUUGAUAAGUGAAAAAGUCACCAAAAUACUUGUAAUAACACUGUGGUUUUUUGCAUAUGUUCACAAUGGAAAGAAAUCCUAAAUCUUACUUCGAAGUUAGCAAGAAUUACAAUAUUUUUCCCACCCCAAUUCAUGGCCCUCUACUUUAUGGUCUUAUUUCAUAGGCUUUCUGACAUGUUUUGCUUCAAAGAGGUCCUAUUCCCCAUCCCAUUUCCUAUCUUCUGGUUUGGGAUUACACUCAAGAUGUGAUAUACAGAUAGAUUAGUUUAUUAGAAAGAAAAUAUUUUUCCACAUGGCGAACUUUAGUGGAGGCUAACAAAUCAGAAUGUGCUAAAAUAGCCAUGUGUACAUAUAGACAAUGGGAAGCUUGGAACUGCUUUAGCAUUUUAUACAAAAGACUUAAAAGUAAUUUCAGCUGGGCACUGUGGCUCGGGCCUGUAAUCCCAGCACUUUGGGAGGCUAAAGUGAGAGGAUUGCUUGAGGCCAGGAGUUCAAGACCAGCCUGGGCAACAUAGUGAGAC